UUUGGGGUGGGCGACGAAGGUCUCAAAGAUGCCGGGCCGCCAGCAGUCGUUACAUGGCCUGUCGGCAACGAGCCCCCACCUCCGCUGACAUGCCGGCGAUAACUGCAUGGCUGUGCGUCUCAGCGACCUUUUCUUCCAUCUUCUCUGUGCCAACUCGUGAUGCCCGAUCAAUCAACGAUCUCAUAAUGUCCAGGGGAACUAGGAAAAGGGGGAAAGGAAGAACAGCCCCACUGUCCCCAUCAAUCACCACCGGCAUCCCCUCCCCUCCCCUCCCCUCCCCUCCCUCAUGCAAGCAGCAGCAGCCUUCCGCGACCAAACGCGAGAGGCGGUGAAGAAGAGGACUCAAAGGGUUCGCAUGAGGCUGAAGGAAGAGAGCGAUAGAGAGACAGAGCAUCUCACAAGCCAUCACGGAUCUUCACACUCCAUCAUCUUCAAACAAAGACGACUUGCAGCUCAGAUGCAACUUUUCCCAAAGUAAUAGUUGUCUCCGAACCAUUGAUGGCAACUCGCUGCCUACAACCUGAUGGCGACCCAUCACGCUUUCCUCUCUUGUUACGUUCCUUUUCGAUGCUAGUUCCUCUGGAGAUGCUCAAUAGAUACCAGCCGGGAUCACAACAGGGAAUAAGAACACAGCAACUCGAGACAUAUUUCUUCAGGAGACCAGUCCGGGAUGCAUUUUACGCCACGUUAAAUCGGAAUUUUUCGGAUGUCGAUUUCAGUUCAGGUGACACUAACUUGGCCGUGAGUUUACUGUUCUUCGGCAUGUGACCGGAGUAACUUACUGGAGUCGACUUACUCUGCAAUCCAAAUGAGGAUUCAAGCAUCUUCCAGAAGUCCAACAAAAUCCUGACCCUUUCUUGUCAUAUUUUGGUGACUCCCAUGUGAGUGUGAGGACCGACAGAGGGGAGGUGAAAGCAUUAAAGAGCAAGAGAUUUGUCCGACACCAUAGAUACAGAAAUCUAUUGUUGUUGUUGUUGUAAUUAUUAUUAUUGUAUAAGAAACAAAAAUGUAAACUGCAUAUUUGGGAAAUUAAAGAAGAGGUGUUACUGCAUGACAGAGUAGGCAACUGAGGGAGGAAGACAAUCUCUGCGGAGGAGCACAUUCAAGAUCAGUAACUUAAAGCUGUUUAUUCAGUGAUGGUGAUCAAGAAUUAUAUGUUUGUGUUCAUCAACAUAAUGAGAUCUUGCAACUUUGAAGCAGAGGGUAAGCCAUUCUGCAACACUUGUUACUGGCAGAAUUCAGGAGGAUGAGAAUAAAAAUCUUUUGUUUUUGUUGAGGCAUUGCUUGACAUAGCCAUGGAUGCUGCUUGGGCACUACCUCCACAAGGACAGGGACUCGUCCAAGGCCCAGUUCAUCAGUUGCAGCAUGUUCACCUUUAUCAGCAGAAGAAGCCCAGCAGCAAACACAGAGAAGCUCAUGUGCCAGUUCUGACCCAG
rnacentral:lncRNA from 1 species